rnacentral:rRNA from 1 species
UGGGGAAUUUUGGACAAUGGGGGAAACCCUGAUCCAGCCAUCCCGCGUGUGCGAUGAAGGCCUUCGGGUUGUAAAGCACUUUUGGCAGGAAAGAAACGUCAUGGGUUAAUACCCCGUGAAACUGACGGUACCUGCAGAAUAAGCACCGGCUAACUACGUGCCAGCAGCCGCGGUAAUACGUAGGGUGCAAGCGUUAAUCGGAAUUACUGGGCGUAAAGCGUGCGCAGGCGGUUCGGAAAGAAAGAUGUGAAAUCCCAGAGCUCAACUUUGGAACUGCAUUUUUAACUACCGGGCUAGGGUGUGUCAGAGGGAGGUGGAAUUCCGCGUGUAGCAGUGAAAUGCGUAGAUAUGCGGAGGAACACCGAUGGCGAAGGCAGCCUCCUGAGAUAACACUGACGCUCAUGCACGAAAGCGUGGGGAGCAAACAGG